GAAAAAAUGAGUCAAUCACAUGAAACAGUGGAUUUGGAAAGCUCAGUACAAGUUAUUGAAGAAAGUUUUAAGUGUCUUAGUACAUACAAUAUCAGCGCUUUUUUUCUUCCUCAAGGAUACCUGAAUGCAGAUAUUUAAAGACUACUGCACCUUCCUCAUUACUAAGAACCCACAAAGAAGGAAGACAAAUAUCUGAAGAGAGAAGCAGUCAGAAAUACUAAAGUAAGGAGAGUUGCAGCCAGGUCUGUGGAUUUCAGUUAAGUUGGUGUGAUGAGUGCCUGUUUUGGUUUAGCCUCCAAUGCACCUUUUUUGGGCACGAUGUUCCAGAGAAGUCCUUGUGCUGUGGAUAUGUGAGAUGAAAGCUAGGACUUAUCAAAUGAGCUGGGAGCUGUUCUGACAACUUAUGUUGAUACCAUGCUGCUACCAUGAGGAGUUGACGUCUGCCUCUAGAGAGCUCUUCUCUGGGCUGAACAAAGCAACAGACCUCAGUGGCUCCCCCCACUCCUCGCCCUUCAGACCCUCCCCGAUCUUUGUGGGCUCCUCUUUGCUACGUCAUCAGGACAUCAGGUGAUGCUUAGCAGGGAUCUGUGUGCCUUUUUACAGGACUCUGAGUGACACAACUGUCCUGAGGUGGACUUCUGCCCUCCUGUAUGGGAAGAAACAGGUCCUCUGCAGCAGGCAGCUCCACAAAGGGUCUCACCUCGUCAAAAGCCAUUUCAUAGGAGUGUGAGAUUAGCAAAGCAGCAGCUGAAACAAAAGCUACCUGUUAAAUACACCGAAGGUCAGCUACAGGAGGAUGAUGCUGGAUGCUUCAAAAACAAGACCUCAAGAAUAUCCCAGGCUGGAAGGGACCCACGAGAAUCACCGAGUCCAACUCUGGAUCUGCACAGGACCACCCAAAAUCUAUGUCUCAGAGCAAUGUCCAAAUGUUCUCUAAGCUCCAGCAGCUCAAGGCCGUGCUCAGUGCCCUCUGGGGCAGAGCCUUUACCCCAAACCAACCUGACACACUCCCUUGAUGCAGCUCCAUGCCAUUCCCUCAGGACCUGUCACUGUUACCAGAGAGCAGAGACCAGUGCUACCCCUCCACUCCCUGUGAGCAGCUGUGGGACACCAUGAGAGAGCUCUUCUCUGGGCUGAACAAAGCAAGGUGUCACUGACUCGCGUCUUGUGGCUGCUGACCCAAGAAGCAACGUAUCCAGAGCUCUCUCUCUCUCUCCCUUCCACCUUUCUGGAGGAGGAUGGAUCCUCCUCCACCAAAGAAGCUUAAGCUUCAGGGGAGCAGCAGAGAGCCUAAAGAAAUGGAAAAUGAUCCUCCUAAAGAUGACGUCAAGCCCAUGGAGGUGGAUCUGCCUCUGGAGGCAGAGCCAAUGGAGGUGGAUCCACCUCCAUCAGGCCUGGGCAAAUGCUGUAACACCAUGCUUGUCUGGAGAUGUCGUCUCAUCUGUUGGCGACGCAGCAGGGGCUCUCGAUUUCCAUCUUGGCGUUGAAAUGUCAUCAUCUGCCAGAGAGCCCCUGCGACGGCUGCUGCUCCCCACCCCCUUCCUUUUCCAUUCUCCAUCUUUCCAUAAGACCUCUUCUCCCCUCUUCCUUCCCACGCUCUGAGGAAAAGGAAGGACUUGGACUGGUGUCCACUGAGCUGUGCUGGGACAGCAAGGAGGAGUCCAACAGAAAGCCUCAAGAUCCCUGCAGCCUCCAGGUAAGCCCUAAGAGGGCGAGGCUGGGACUGGUGUCCAUUAAGCAGCUGUGCUGGGACAAUAGGAGUCCAGCGGAUAACUCUGAGCUCCGAGGUGAGCCCCGAGGAAGAGGGCAGGACAGGGACUGGCGUCCACUGAGCUGCUGUGGCUGGGACAAAAGAGGAGUCCAGCAGAUGGCCCUGAGCUCCUGGCAGCCUCAAGAAAAGCCCAGAGGAAGAGGGUACGACUGAGAAUAGUGUCCACUAUGUUGUGCUGCCAAAUGAUGAAGAGCAUCACAUCACCCCCUUAAAUCUUUACAGAAAAGAGCAAUGACCCAAAGAAAGAACGCCUUCAGACGCAAACACAGCAGAGGCCCAAGCCUCCCAAGCCUUCUGACUCUGAUACCACCGUGAUUACUGAGCUUUCCGAAGGUUUCACGUUUCUUGACAUAUUCCACGUGCCUUUCACUCCCAAAAGAGGUGAAAAUAAUCUGCUAUGAUUCUUGCCAGACCAAAAUUGCACAAACGCUUGCUCAAAUUAAGGCCAGUUCCUCAUUAACAGGACAAUUAACCCUUCUCAUUACCCAAAUCAUCAGCAUGGAUUAUGAAAAGAAGGCAUGAGAAGGAGUUGGGAUUACAUCUUACAGGUGUAGAAGAACUACCCAAGCCCCUUUAGGAGGCUGCACUACCAGCAAAAGUGGGGAUCCACUCUUCUGCAGGGACUUGACCUUCCAUCCUCACCUUCCGCUACCUUGAGACUGCCUCGAGGCAACUUACAGCACUGCUGUGAACAUGUGAAAUCCUUCUUCCACUGAAAAGUCAGCUUGCCACAGGAUCUAAUGGAGCCAAGACGGUAGAUUUAUUCAGAGGCCUCCAAAAUCCUGAUUAUGCUGUUCAAUGAGUAUCCAUGUAAAUUAAAUAACGUUACUAGCCCAAGACAGGCAGCAGCAUUGAAAAGCCUUUUUCUUUUCCCAGUUAAUCUUCAGGUAUUCAUCUGGGUCCACAGAUCUGCCUGAAAAGUGUAGCAAGACCAGAACUCUUAUUUGGGGGACUAACAUCAGGAAAAUACAUUUUAGGAAAGAUUUGUGAUUGAACUGCUACAAAAAUUUGUUCCUACUCCUAUUAAUACUAAAUCACUCUCUGGAACUGUUCAACGACCCUAACUGCAUUAACAGUGACUUCUGUUUUUAUGCAAAUUGGAAAGAACAAAACCCUAACAACUGAGGAGGCAUAAAUCCACCUCCCCCACACUCUGGGUCUGCACCUAAUCAUUAUUAUUAUUUACCAUAUGAAAAGGAUGGAAAGAAACCAGACUUAGGUUUCCUUUUAGGUGUAGAUUUUAUGAAGAAAUACCAGCUCCUAUAAAACUUUGUCAUAGAUGCCCACGAACUCAGGAACUCAAGAGACGCCUCUGUUUGAGUUAUGCUGAUUUUCUUGACCAAACUGAAACAAAACAUUGCUCCCCAACCCUGCAGUAGAAACUAGCUCAAGUCUGCCCUCUGCGUUCCAUUUUCUCAUUUUCAUGCCUUGCGUUUGAAUGCCUCUCUGCUAAAGCAUCUGUCACUUUCCUCUGGUCAUCAGCAUUUUUAGCUGUAAAAAAAAGCGAAAGAAAAUUCUUAGGUACUUUACAGAUUCCAGACAUUCACUAGGAAUGAUGCAUUCAGUGGUAGAACAUUUCCCUUCCAUAUUCUUGUCUCCCUGAGCUGCUGUUCAGCACACUAUGACCAUUACAUGGCCUUAUAUUUCCCAGAGUUUACCAGAAAUUUGACAGAUUGAACGGUCUCAUGUUUUUAUGGUAAGGAAAGGUAUUUUAAAUAUCACAACUGAAAAAGCUGCACCGGAAACCUGUUACCUUAUGCAUGUUCCAGUUGACCUGUUCUAAUUCCCAACACAGUUGCAAUUAUUUUAGGAGAGAAAACAUCACACGCAUCUAAUUAUUUGGAUCAUUUUUUGCUUUGGACAGAUGGCAACAAUCUUACAUAAGCACUAUCACAAAGCAUUAGGGCAGUCUGGUUUUUUGACCCAUAUCUGAUCAUUUUGCAGCUCACGCAACUGUGCUUCCAGCGGUAGAUUCCCCCAUGCAAAGUUCCCAAAUGUGGUAAAUAAAGCCAUCUGUUGUGGAAGCCGGGUUUUAAAAUUAUAUGCCCCGUUAGCCACCGUUCUGCAUAUUCAUGUCUUAUACAUAAGUAUGCCUUUCUAAAAGGAGUUUUGUUCACCUCAUUUUGCAUAUUUGUGGGCCAGCUCACAGAUAUCUUUAUUCUUAUAUUAACUUGAGUCAGAGUGACUUCAGUCUUUAUGCUUUUCAUUGCCUUCUUCCUGCUUCCUACAUUCUGUUCCUCUCAAUCAUAAUCACAAAUGAAGGUAAGACCUUCAAAAAGUUUAUUUAAUGGAACUGGCAUUCAUUCCACAUCUCCAUAAAUAUAUGAAUGUGACAUACAUAAAUAACAACAAAAACAUCUCAUAUGAAAGGGAUCUCAUCAUCCUUUAGACCAACUCAAAUAUCCUCUUCUCUGUAAAAAUGCAUGUGAAGCACUCGAAGUAAGGGGGAAUUUCUAAGGUAAAACAUACCUUAAUGUUUGUUAAGUCAGCAAGUGUUUAAACAGCUAUUUCCAGAACUGUUCCUAUUCUUCUGCUUUCAUCACUCUCUUUAGUCACUAGAAGUACUAGUUCUGGUUAGGAAGGAGGGCAACAAGUAUGAGUUUAUGGUGCAAAUUAGCAUUUCAACUACUCAUCAGUCAUACGGUCCGUAAAGGUUAUUCUUAAAGUUUUAAUACUGCUCCUCUUUUCACCCAUAUGAAGAUACAGCACAUCAGACACUCAUCUCUUGUGAAGGAAUUUGGAGCACCACCUGGCAUUAUGCCAGCCAAGAUUCUUCUCAGCCGGUUUACGUUUUAGCUAACUUGUAGAUAAAGGGUUAGUUAGUUAGUUAGUUGGUUAGUUGAAGUUUGGUAUGGUUUUUCAUGCUUAAUUUUUGGAAAAAGAAUGCAGUAUUUUCUAUCCCAGAGUCUUGCUCUGUUAGCCUAGUCAAAGUAUUCUUGGUUUUUGGUGACCUAGGGGUUAUGAAUUCCACCAGUCAUAUCACUUGCAAACAUGAAGUGAAAGCGGUGGAACGGUAACGUGGGUAAACAUACAUGCACUUCAAUUAUGUCUGUAUUUUGCCAAUUUAAAAGAAAAUAGCAGACCACUUAUUACAAACUGUAGUUUUCAGCAUCCCGUUACGACCGCUCUCAUCAUUUGCUUUGAUGACUUUAAAAUAUCAAGAUCUGUAGAGACGGAGUAGCCCUACAGAUUAUUUGGGCUGUCUUUUAGUAAAGCAUCUGCUUCUGUGUUUACCCCUAAUUCCUGUGUUUGAAGAAUCAAACACCCUAAUUGAGGCUCUGGAAAGCCUAAUUGAUGGGUUUUUUUUAAUAGCUGUUAUUCUCAUAAGGCACAUCAUCCAGGAACAGUCAGAAGAUAAAGAGCUGAAUACUCCACAGUUUAUUGGAGCUUGUUUUGAAGGUCUUGUGAAAAAUCUGUGCUUGCCAUCUACGGUUUCUUUAAACCUUUCUUUUCUAUCAUAUUUGUUAAUGAAAAUACAGUUUUAUGGAGAAAAUUAGAAACUCGAAUACCUACAGGAAAUACUGAAGAGACGGACUGGAAGAAAUCUGAGGAAAGUCUUAGUUAUUUCUGAAUCUCAGAAGUGCCAAGAACUAAACAAGAACUUUACUUUUGAAUCAUGAACCAAGUAAGCAAUUUUAAAGUUUUUGGUCACUUGAAUUAAAAAGAUAUAAACUGGUAUCUUUCAUGUAGAAUAUUUUAUAGAGCAGCUAUGCUCACUGACUUCUAACUAGAUGAUUAUUUGACAAGGAAAAACAUUUUUUGUUAUAUUCUGAAAAGUAGUCCAAAGUCUCAUUUCAGAGAGGGUAGAUGAAAAAAAAAAUCAGUGCCUUUAUAGAAAAUGCAACCAAAUAUUCUGAUUACGUAGGCAUAACAAAGCAUUUGAAAUGCAGACAUAGAAUAAUGGCAAAAUCAUUUUCCAGAUCCAUUUCAAAGUUAUUUUUCUUAUUCUUUUUCUAUGCAAUCUUGCUUUUUUUCCUAAAGGCUUAAUCCUGCUACUUUUACAAUGGUACAUUACCCACAAGAUCAAAUGAGAUCCUGAGGGAAGUAUUCAAAGAGAAGGAAAAUGGGCAUGUUUAUAAUUCUUCCCGUUUGGCAAUUAACUCAAAUGCCUAAAUUAAAAGAAUAGCUUCCCUCGGUUUACCAGAUGAUUAAUAGAGAACAUUCCAGUAGGCAAUCUGAAAUGCUAACCUAAGUUCUUGCUAUUAGUAUUCUUUUGGAACUCCUGCAUAUUUUCCCUUGGACUGAGAAACGAGCUUACUUUACAUUAUUUAAACUUAAGUGAUGUUAAUAGCCCUGAAAAGCAUUGGUGGUCUUCUGUACAAAUACAUGCCAACUGAUAACAAACAGAAGACCAUUAUGCCAUAAGGACAGCCAAUCUAGAACUGCUCAGAAUUUCCUUUGCAGGGUCUUGGCAAUAAACUAGUUCUAAGUGGAUAAAACUAAAUCCAAUUAUUUCUAAGAAUGCAGUCUUACAAAAAAUGUACACUGAAAGUCUACAUAAUGAAUAUUUUCUCAUUAAUUACCACGGUCUUCAUUCUGCGUUGUUCUUGUUUGUUUGUUUUUAAUAUAAUUUUUGUACCAGUUUUUAUUAAUGAGUAAUCUACCCUGUGCAGGAGAGACUGCAGGAGUCUCAUUUUCACAGAGCUGAGAUGGUGUACGUUUAGUUAGAUUGUCUGUACACUUGCAUCAGGACACCAGUUACUCAGGCUUUCACCUCUGUAUGUAUUCAAGAUAUUUCUUUUCAUUUUUCCUUUCCCUUGUUCUCCUUUUCCCCUGCAGCAGGCUGCGGCGUUCGUCUGAACUUCUGCUUCAUGGUAAAUAUGCUGCAAAAAUGGCACAGUGACACAGAAAACAAAAUGAAUAAAUCAUUAAGAUUUACAAGAGUGAACUCACAGAAAACCAGCUUCGAUCUCUGUUAAACCAGUUUUCUAAAUACUGGAUACAUAAUCAUAAAGCAAAUGGAAUAGCAGUAGAUUAGUAAGUUAACUAUUUAGUUUUCCCAGGAGGAGAGUAAUCAACUUUUUGUUGCUUCUUUAUAUAUUUUCUACCACACUGCAGUCAUGGUCAAAGAUCUAGAAUUCCUAGCUGAAACCGCAAGCAAAUAAUAAUUAGCUUCCAGGUGAAUGCUAAGCAGUUUGUCCAAUUGCUUGCAGCUGGGCACACUCUGGUUGGUGGAAACUGUAGAACAGCAAACAGGCCGACACGUUUGAAAGAAAGGUUAUCUGUCCGAGCUUUUUCACGUCUCCAUUAGUUUUCUGUUUUCUUGGCAAGGUGCUGAAAGCUUCCAAAAUGUUUUGAAGGUCCAUCGUUUUACAAUCACUGUUUUUACUUUGGAUAGGUACGUGAAAAUCUUGGAAAACUUAGUGGAAGUAUUUAAAAAAAUAAUCAUGUGACAUUAAACAUUCAACCAGACAGAGCCAACUCUUGUCUACAAAACUGCUGGACAUUCACAGACGUUUAUUUCAGAUGAGCAGGACUCUGUUAUUUCCAGCAUCACUGUGUUUUUGUCUUUGGAAUUUCCUAACAUUUUAAAAACCCCUCUGUUUCUCACUUGAGUCACAACUUGCAGGCUUCUUGUCUCUCACCCCUCAGGCAAGACCUACUUUUGCAUAAUUUACACACUCUUGCAAUUCAGAAGCUUUCUAGAUGAUAUCCCACCAUGUUGUUUAGCUCUUUUGUUGUAAACAUAGCUUGUUCCUAUUAAAUGCAAAGGUCAACAGAAGCUGAUAGCAAUGAAUGAUCAUCACUAACUCACUUAGGAAAAUGUGUUCCACAAAAACAGUUGUCAUUACAAAAAAAGAAGCAAAAUAACUGUUAUGGAUGUUAAGAAUAAGAAUACAGACAAGGGAGGGAUGAAGAAUUAGAGAAAUAAAUAAUAAAAAAAAGUAAGCAAAAUGUUUCUUUGUGUAACCAUGAUCCUCUUGAUUGACUGACACGAAAGCCAUGGCUCUACUGCAUCCUGUUGCCUCUUACAAAUAUUUCACUUCAUAUUUGUAUAUUUAAAAGACCCAGAGCUGAAACACAGAAAAAUACUAAAGCUAAAAUUAGCUGUAAAGAUAACAUAGCAGAAUGUGUAGGUUUAAAUAACUGUCAGCAUAACUUCUGAUUUCCUUUUAUUCUAUGUGCCAUCA